rnacentral:rRNA from 1 species
AUUGAACGCUGGCGGCAUGCCUAACACAUGCAAGUCGAACGAGUGGCGGACGGGUGAGUAAUGUCUGGGAAACUGCCUGAUGGAGGGGGAUAACUACUGGAAACGGUAGCUAAUACCGCAUACCAUCGGAUGUGCCCAGCUCGGAUUAGCUAGUAGGUGGGGUAAAGGCUCACCUGGGCGACGAUCCCGAGCUGGUCUGAGAGGAUGACCAGCAAAACGGGAAUUGUGACACGUGCCAGACGCCUACGGGAGGCAGCAGUGGGGAAUGUUGGACAUUGGGCGCAAGCCGGAUGCAGCUAUGCCGCGUGUAUGAAGAAGGCCUUCGGGUUGUAAAGUACUUUCAGCGGGGAGGCGGUACCCGCAGAAGAAGCACCGGCUAACUCCGUGCCAGCAGCCGCGGUAAUUC